GGGCGUGUAGCUCAGUUGGUAGAGCGUUCGCUUCGCAUGCGAAAGGCCUUGGGUUCGAUUCCCAACUCGUCCA
rnacentral:tRNA from 1 species